AUCUUUGCGCGUGGGGCAAUGGCGUAGGUAGUGAGGUUAUAACUGCGGCGCGUCAAUUGUGGUUGAAAACUAUUUCCAAACCCCCGCUUUGGCCUGGGUCCAGCCUUUUGCCAAUAAUUUCUGGAACGGCCGCCUCUAAUCAAGGAUAAGGCC